rnacentral:lncRNA from 1 species
CUGAGGACAGGUGUCUUAUGACGCGCAUUCACGUGGCUUUGUUGUUUUUUAUUUUUCUUCUGGGAUGAAUACCUAUUGCCCGGUUGUAAAAUUAUCACAAUUUUACGUUAAAAAAUACCCUAAAGGAUUGAUUGUAAACAUCGUUUGACGUGUUUCUACAAACGGUAAUGGAAUUUUUGACCAUUUCGUCUAUGGAUUUGCGUCCACGCCACAUGGCAUUGUAAAGUGUUCUGGAUGGGUCAACAAAACAGACUUUGGACAUAAAUGAUGGACUUUGCAGAACAAAUUAACAUUUCUUGUGGCAGUGGGUGCCCUUCCGAGUGCAUUCCGCCGAAGAUCAGCAAAGGACAAUGACCCAACACACCUCCAGGCUGUGAGAGUGAGCUGCAUCAGAUGACCUGGCCUCCAAAAUCACCCGACCUCAACCCAAAUGAGAUGGCUUGCGAUGAGUUGGACCGCAGAGUGAAGGAAAAAGCAGCCUUACAAGUGCUCAGCAUAUGUGGGAACUCCAAGUACGGUACACUGUCCUUCUUUCAGCA